GCUUCAAUGGCCGAGUGGUCUAAGGCGAUACGUUUAGGCCGUAUUCUCGAAGGAGGCACGAGUUCAAAUCUCGUUUGGGGCA
rfam:Parasitella parasitica strain CBS 412.66 genome assembly, contig: contig_6143